GGGGAAUAUUGCACAAUGGGGGAAACCCUGAUGCAGCAAUGCCACGUGAGUGAUGAAGGCCUUCGGGUCGUAAAGCUCUUUCAGCGGGGAAGAAGGGUAACUUGACGGUACCCGCAGAAGAAGCACCGGCUAACUCCGUGCCAGCAGCCGCGGUAAUACGGAGGGUGCGAGCGUUGUUCGGAAUCACUGGGCGUAAAGCGCGUGUAGGCGGCUUGUUAAGUCUGAUGUGAAAGCCCUCGGCUCAACCGAGGAACUGCAUCGGAUACUAGCAAACUAGAGGUCGUGAGAGGAGAGUGGAAUUCCUGGUGGAGGGGUGAAAUCCGUAGAUAUCAGGAGGAACAUCUGUGGCGAAGGCGGCUCUCUGGCCCGAACCUGACGCUCAGACGCGAAAGCGUGGGGAGCAAAC
rnacentral:rRNA from 1 species